GUCUUUUAGAUUAUAAUUUAAAGUCUGGCCUGCCCUAUGAAAUAUUAAAUGGCCGCAGUAUUUUGACUGUGCAAAGGUAGCAUAAUAAUUAGUUUUUUAAUUGAAAGCUGGAAUGAAAGGUUGAACGAAAAAAUAUCUGUCUCAAUUUAAUUUAAUUAGAAUUUUAUUUUUUAGUAAAAAAGCUAAAAUUAAUUUUAAAGACGAGAAGACCCUAUAGAGUUUUAUAUUUUAAAUUAAUUAUUUUUUAGAAUUUAUUUUUAAUUGAAGUAUUUUGUUGGGGUGAUAAAUAAAUUUAAAAAACUUUAUUAAUUAAAACCAUUAAUUUAUGAUUUUAUGAUCCAUAAAAAUGAUUAAAGAUUAAAUUACCUUAGGGAUAACAGCGUUAUUUUUUUUUAGAGUUCUAAUCGAAAAAAAAGAUUGCGACCUCGAUGUUGGAUUAAAAUUUAUUUAUGGUGUAGAAGCUAUAGUAUUGGGUCUGUUCGACCUUUAAAAUUUUACAUGAUCUGAGUUUAAACCGGUGUGAGCCAGGUUGGUUUCUAUCUUAAAGUAAUUAAGUUAUUUUAGUACGAAAGGACCAAAUAUCUAUAAAAUUUAUUUUUUUUUUGAAUAC
rnacentral:rRNA from 1 species